AUUGAACGCUGGCGGCAUGCCUUACGCAUGCAAGUCGAACGGCAGCGGGGACUUCGGUCCGCCGGCGAGUGGCGAACGGGUGAGUAAUGCAUCGGAACGUACCCGGAAGUGGGGGAUAACGUAGCGAAAGUUACGCUAAUACCGCAUAUUCUGUGAGCAGGAAAGAGGGGGAUCUUCGGACCUCUUGCUUUCGGAGCGGCCGAUGUCAGAUUAGCUAGUUGGUGGGGUAAAGGCCCACCAAGGCGACGAUCAGUAGCUGGUCUGAGAGGACGAUCAGCCACACUGGGACUGAGACACGGCCCAGACUCCUACGGGAGGCAGCAGUGGGGAAUUUUGGACAAUGGGGGCAACCCUGAUCCAGCAAUGCCGCGUGAGUGAAGAAGGCCUUCGGGUUGUAAAGCUCCUUUGUCAGGGAAGAAACGGUGGGGGCUAAUAUCCUCUGCUAAUGACGGUACCUGAAGAAUAAGCACCGGCUAACUACGUGCCAGCCGCCGCCGUAAUAC
rnacentral:rRNA from 1 species